CCCUUAGAUGUUCGGGGCCGCACGCGCGCUACACUGAAGGAAUCAGCACGUCUUUCUCCUUGUCCGAAAGGACUGGGUAACCCGCUGAACCUCCUUCGUGCUAGGGAUUGGGGCUUGUAAUUCUUCCCUAUGAACGAGGAAUUCCCAGUAAGCGCGAGUCAUAAGCUCGCGUUGAUUACGUCCCUGCCCUUUGUACACACCGCCCGUCGCUACUACCGAUUGGAUGGUUUAGUGAGAUCCUCGGAUUGGUCCCGGCGCGGCCUCUGGUCGUGCCGGAGUGCCGAAAAGAAUGUCGAACUUGAUCAUCUAGAGGAAGUAAAAGUCGUAACA
rnacentral:rRNA from 1 species